GGCAACAUCGGUCCAAUCCUUAAAGUCAUCCUCAGUUCGGACUGGGGUCUGCAACCGACCCCACGAAGCUGGAUUCGCUAGUAAUCGCGCAUCAGCCAUGGCGCGGUGAAUACGUUCCCGGGCCUUGUACACACCGCCCGUCAAGCCAUGAAAGCCGGGGGCGCCUGAAGUCCGUGACCGCGAGGGUCGGCCUAGGGUGAAACCGGUGAUUGGGGCUAAGUCGUAACAAGGUAGC
rnacentral:rRNA from 1 species